CGCCUUCAGAUCCAAUAUUGGAGGUCUGGUCUGCCCAGUGUAAUUAAUUAACGGCCGCGGUAUUCUGACUGUGCAAAGGUAGCAUAAUCACUUGCCCUUUAAAUGGGGGAAUGUAUGAAUGAUUAGACGAGGUUUUUACUGUCUCUUCCUUAUAAAUUGAGAUUACAAUACUUGUGAAAAUGCGGGUAAGGUAAUAAAGGACGAGAAGACCCUGUUGAGCUUUUAAGCUAAACUAUAGUACAGGUUAAGUUAAGUAAUAAUUUACAAUUAAAACGAGUAAUUUUUUGUAGGCUUUUUGGCUGGGGUGGCAAGCAAAGAUAUUAAGCUUUGUUGUAGUAUACAUUUUGAAUUUCUAGAUAAUAUGUAUCUAUAAAUAAUUAAAUUGAUCCGUUAAAAUAGAACGAUUAAAAGAAUAAGUUACCACAGGGAUAACAGCGUAAUUCUUUUUGAGAGCUCGAAUUGACAAAGGAGUUUGCGACCUCGAUGUUGGAUCAAGAUUCCUAGCGGUGUAGCAGCUGUUACGGGUUUGCCUGUUCGGCGAUUAAUAUCU
rnacentral:rRNA from 1 species